rnacentral:rRNA from 1 species
CGGACGGGUGAGUAACGCGUGAGAAUCUGCCUUCAGGUCUGGGACAACCACUGGAAACGGUGGCUAAUACCGGAUGUGCCGCAAGGUGAAAGGUUAACUGCCUGAAGAUGAGCUCGCGUCUGAUUAGCUAGUUGGCAGUGUAAGAGACUACCAAGGCGACGAUCAGUAGCUGGUCUGAGAGGACGAUCAGCCACACUGGGGCUGAGACACGGCCCAGACUCCUAUGGGAGGCAGCAGUGGGGAAUUUUCCGCAAUGGGCGAAAGCCUGACGGAGCAAUACCGCGUGAGGGAGGAAGGCUCUUGGGUCGUAAACCUCUUUUCUCAGGGAAGAACACAAUGACGGUACCUGAGGAAUAAGCAUCGGCUAACUCCGUGCCAGCAGCCGCGGUAAUACGGAGGAUGCAAGCGUUAUCCGGAAUGAUUGGGCGUAAAGCGUCCGCAGGUGGCGAUGUAAGUCUGCUGUUAAAGCGUCUAGCUCAACUAGAUAAGAGCAGUGGAAACUACAUAGCUAGAGUACGUUCGGGGCAGAGGGAAUUCCUGGUGUAGCGGUGAAAUGCGUAGAGAUCAGGAAGAACACCGGUGGCGAAGGCGCUCUGCUAGGCCGUAACUGACACUGAGGGACGAAAGCUAGGGGAGCGAAUGGGAUUAGAUACCCCAGUAGUC